CAGAUGGGGUGGUUCAAGCAGACCUGACUUCACAUGUAAAAGUACCAAAGUCGUCCUGGGUGUCGUGCACGCCACUGGAGAUGAACCUUACAUCCCAUCUUCCCAUCCAUUUGUUUUAAGAGAUGCUGGUGGUAGAGUUAAUUGUGAUGGAUCCAAGAAGACAGAGAACAUGUGAUUGACCUAAGGCAGUUUCAGCUCCAGAGAAGGUCCAUUACUCAUGGAAAUGCUAAGAGCAAGAGUGAAAAGUUCCCUACCCUCACAUUAAGGUGGUACGGUUGGUGUCUCCUUGGAUGCUUCAGUACCCUUUUCCUCUGUACCUUUUUGAUGCUCUUGGGGUGGUAUAUAUGGAAUCAAACAUUUCCAAAGGCGAAGAACGAUGGGUUCAAAGUGACAAAUGUGAAUGCUAGCAACAUCAAAUUUGUGCUCUAUUUAAUGGAAGAAGGAAUGAUGGAGGACAAGCUGAAUAUACUUGCCCCAAUUGCUACGUCGAGGAGGUCAAAUGUGGGUUGUGCAAACCUUUACCACAGUGUGAUCUUCUUGGGGAAAAAGUUUUACGAAUAACUGUUCUUAGUGAUCAUAUAAAUGAUCGACUAUUUAAACGACUUAAGCAGGAGAAAAGGACCAUGCAGCUGCUGUUGGCAAAAGUAUUGAUAAGGUUAGUGAUAUCGUGUAGCUGCUGCAGGAUAAACAAGAUCAUGCUUCAAAUGUC